CGCGAGAGUAUGUCAGAGGAUGAAAAUCCCGUGUGCGUGCUAAGAACAGAGAAUGCUGUAGCGGCUGUCAACCGGAAGUGAUAUUGUUGCACUUUGCAGACACAGCAGGUCAGGACCAUCUAUGUGCAGGUACACUCAACCGUGUUGACCUGGCAGGAAGUGGGUGUCAGUCUGAGACUGGUGCUCCUCGCGAACGACUGUGCAAUGCCUCCCAAGAUCAACCUUUCCCUCUCGCCUUGGGUAACGUCUUCUCUGCCCCGGUGGACGGACGUUCAAGGCACAUCCCCGACCGGGACUCGGAGCUAAUGAGGCUGCUGCAGGACUGUCUGGGAGGAAACACGUGCACCUUGAUGAUCGCCUGUCUUUCCCCUCGCAGACAACCACUAUGAAGAGAGCGUGAGCAUGCUGCACCAUACCAACGGAUCCAAGAGCAUCCAGAACAGACCUCCAAUCACCGAGGACCCCAAGGACCCUCUGCUCAGAGAAGAUCAGGAGGAGAUCAGGAAGUUGUGGGCCCUCAUCUUUGGCCAGCUGGGCACUGCUAACAUUUCAGUGAGCUUGUGCUGUGUGACGCAGGCUGCUGAAGAAGAGCUCCGCCCUAAACCUGACCGGCUGUGCUUCAGUCCAACUGGGGAGACUUCUCAGACCAAGGCUGCAGCGGCUGGAUCAGGAGGCGGUGGGAGGAGAGCAGGCCAGGAACAAAGAGACAGAGAGCAGAGAGCGAAAAUGUGCUGUCAAACGAAUACAAUUUUAUCCAGGAAGAAGUCCAUGCAGAAAGUCACAUUCUGGGCAAGGUGGGUUAUUAAUAAUAAGGAUAAUCAUAUUUAUGUAGCGCCUUUCAAGGGACCCGAGGACGUUUUACAUUUCACACAAACACUUUACUUUCUAUUAGGUAAAUCCAUA
rnacentral:lncRNA from 1 species